rnacentral:rRNA from 1 species
UACAGAGGGGGCGAGCGUUGUUCGGAAUUAUUGGGCGUAAAGAGCUUGUAGGCGGUCUGUCGCGUCUGCUGUGAAAAUCCGGGGCUCAACCCCGGACUUGCAGUGGGUACGGGCAGACUAGAGUGUGGUAGGGGAGACUGGAAUUCCUGGUGUAGCGGUGAAAUGCGCAGAUAUCAGGAGGAACACCGAUGGCGAAGGCAGGUCUCUGGGCCACUACUGACGCUGAGAAGCGAAAGCAUGGGGAGCGAACAGG